GCGGGGGUUGCCAAGCCCGGUCAACGGCGUGAGGCUCAGAACCUCAUCUCUUAGGGGUUCGUGGGUUCAAAUCCCACCUCCCGCA
rnacentral:tRNA from 1 species